rnacentral:tRNA from 1 species
GUUAUUUUGGCAGAAUAGUGCGAUUGAUUUAGAAUCAUUAUAUGUAAAAAUUUUACAAAUAGCAC